rnacentral:rRNA from 3 species
GGGCGUUAAGUUGCAGGGUAUAGACCCGAAACCCGGUGAUCUAGCCAUGGGCAGGUUGAAGGUUGGGUAACACUAACUGGAGGACCGAACCGACUAAUGUUGAAAAAUUAGCGGAUGACCUGUGGCUGGGGGUGAAAGGCCAAUCAAACCGGGAGAUAGCUGGUUCUCCCCGAAAGCUAUUUAGGUAGCGCCUCGUGAACUCAUCUCCGGGGGUAGAGCACUGUUUCGGCUAGGGGGCCAUCCCGGCUUACCAACCCGAUGCAAACUGCGAAUACCGGAGAAUGUUAUCACGGGAGACACACGGCGGGUGCUAACGUCCGUCGUGAAGAGGGAAACAACCCAGACCGCCAGCUAAGGUCCCAAAGUCAUGGUUAAGUGGGAAACGAUGUGGGAAGGCCCAGACAGCCAGGAUGUUGGCUUAGAAGCAGCCAUCAUUUAAAGAAAGCGUAAUAGCUCACUGGUCGAGUCGGCCUGCGCGGAAGAUGUAACGGGGCUAAACCAUGCACCGAAGCUGCGGCAGCGA